rnacentral:rRNA from 1 species
GACGAACGCUGGCGGCGUGCCUAAUACAUGCAAGUCGAACGAACGGAUUGAGGAGCUUGCUCUUCAUGAAGUUAGUGGCGGACGGGUGAGUAACACGUGGGUAACCUGCCCUUCAGUGGGGGAUAACAUCCGGAAACGGGUGCUAAUACCGCAUAGUUUCUUUUUCCGCCUGGAAGAAGAAGGAAAGAUGGCCUUUGCGCUAUCACUGAGGGAUGGACCCGCGGCGUAUUAGCUAGUUGGUGAGGUAAUGGCUCACCAAGGCGAUGAUACGUAGCCGACCUGAGAGGGUGAUCGGCCACACUGGGACUGAGACACGGCCCAG